AUAAAGUGUUAUGAUCAUGUCUAAAGUAUCUGUGUGUCUUUUUCACAUGUGACGUUAAAUUGAAUAAAUUAGAGAAGCUUUACUCAAGCCCCAAAGUAGUCACUACCAUGAAUGAUAAGUCAUACAAGGAAGAAAAUGUAAGACAAGUAAGUUUCUUCACUGUGUAUAUGGUUUUGUUCUGUUCAUGGAUUGGGUGAUUCCUUUUUCAUUAACUUUUCCGUUUUCUUUGCCUUUCUUGCAGAUAAGUGCCCUCUGAGUACCAAACAGGAAUGUACUGUUUAUAUAGAAAUUUCAAAUCAGCAGAAAAUUCAAAUAGUUAUAACUUUUCUUUAUAGUCCAUCAUGAGAAAGAGUAACAACAACACAUUGGAAGAAUUUGUAUAUUAGCCUUGGAGGAAGAGGGAUGGCAGUUAUUUCCCCAUGGGAGAAAAUACAAGAAAGCCCCUGUGAAUUACAUACGAUAGCUGUUGAUUGUCUGCCUAAAGAAGAGAACAAAGCUGCAAGGGCUGCACGAGACGGUAGGAAGAAGUUGCUUCAACAGCACAACCCAUCUCUCUGUGACUGGCAGUGGAUGUGCUGACUCACUGAGGAUGUGCUGAGUACAUACAUUGGCCAAAUAACACAUCAGGUGCCAGAGAUGGGAAGAGUUGUGCUCUCCUGCAGCCUUUUGGGGAUGGCUGGCUUCCAUACCCAGAAUCAAUCACACCGCGACACUGAAAAAACAAAAAUAAACAGGAAAAAUAUGUUCCUAAUGCGGCACUUGACCCCAGCACUUUCCCACAAACACCCAUCCUGGAAAUCUCAGAUACCCUCCGGGUACUGACUGCAUCUCUGUCAUUAAUGGCUUUUGUUCCAAGCCCAGAGCCUGACAGGUAUGUAAAGAUUUUUCAAAUGAUUGUUAGACUCCUUUCUCUUUCUCAUUUC